rnacentral:rRNA from 1 species
UACGGAGGGGGCUAGCGUUGUCCGGAAUUAUUGGGCGUAAAGAGCUCGUAGGCGGUCUGUCGCGUCGGUCGUGAAAACUUGGGGCUUAACCCUGAGCUUGCGGUCGAUACGGGCAUGACUGGAGUUCGGUAGGGGAGACUGGAAUUCCUGGUGUAGCGGUGAAAUGCGCAGAUAUCAGGAGGAACACCGGUGGCGAAGGCGGUUCUCUGGGCAUUACCUGACGCUGAGGAGCGAAAGUGUGGGGAGCGAACAGG